rnacentral:rRNA from 1 species
AUUGAACGCUGGCGGCAUGCCUUACACAUGCAAGUCGAACGGCAGCGGGGGAGAAGCUUGCUUUUCCUGCCGGCGAGUGGCGAACGGGUGAGUAAUACAUCGGAACGUGCCCUGUAGUGGGGGAUAACUAGUCGAAAGAUUAGCUAAUACCGCAUACGACCUGAGGGUGAAAGUGGGGGACCGCAAGGCCUCAUGCUAUAGGAGCGGCCGAUGUCUGAUUAGCUAGUUGGUGGGGUAAAGGCCUACCAAGGCCACGAUCAGUAGCUGGCCUGAGAGGACGAUCAGCCACACUGGGACUGAGACACGUCCCAGACUCCUACGGGAGGCAGCAGUGGGGAAUUUUGGACAAUGGGCGAAAGCCUGAUCCAGCAAUGCCGCGUGUGUGAAGAAGGCCUUCGGGUUGUAAAGCACUUUUGUCCGGAAAGAAAUGGCUCUGGUUAAUACCUGGGGUCGAUGACGGUACCGGAAGAAUAAGGACCGGCUAACUACGUGCCAGCAGCCGCAGUAA